GCAGUUAGUCCUUUGUCCUCCAUGGAAAAGUUUCUGGGAACCUGAUGUCAAAUGUCACCUGUGCAUACUUCCCUGAGAAGUGGAAUCUGGCUGCAGUGCAACACCAAGAGAAGUGGCAUCUGUAGGUAUCUGGAUCCUCCCUUGUCAGCAGCUCUAAGCACUGACUUGCAAUGGCUGCCUGCCUCAGUUUGCCUACCAUAUGGAUGCCCAAGCUGGUCUGUGGCAACAGAGGACAAUGAAACAACGUCAACAU